UACGGGGGGGCGAAGCGUUGUUCGGAAUUACUGGGCGUAAAGGGCUCGUAGGUGGCCAACUAAGUCAGACGUGAAAUCCCUCGGCUUAACCGGGGAACUGCGUCUGAUACUGGAUGGCUUGAGUUCGGGAGAGGGAUGCGGAAUUCCAGGUGUAGCGGUGAAAUGCGUAGAUAUCAGGAGGAACACCAGCGGCGAAGGCGGCGCUCUGGGCUGGCACUGACGCUGAGGUGCGAAAGCGUGGGGAGCAAACAGG
rnacentral:rRNA from 1 species